CUCCAGUUGUACUGCAAAGGCCAAGGCGGGCCACUGCUGGCCAGCACUCUAAUCUUUACCACCUACCAAGGUCUGUAAGUGGCCCUGUAGGGGGAGAAGCUGCACCGGUUGAGUUAGUGUCUAAUGCUGUUUUGGCUUAUUUUCGGCCUUGGAGUUAACUUUUGGGUGUUUGGGUCCAUCGUCGGGGCGCCGAUGUGUGAUGUGGGGGUGGAUUGUAGCAGAGUAAGGAAGGUUAUCUGCUCAUUAGGUCACGUGAUGUGUGAAUCAUUAUAUAAAGGCAUGUAUUUGGUUACCUGGCUAUGCGUCAUCCUUGUCACCGCCCUCUUGUGGGACCUCAUUCAUGUUUUCUCCAGGAUAAUUUGACUACUGUUGUUGGCGUGGGCUGUCUGCUAUCCCAGCGUGUUUUGGCGUCCGGUUUGUGAACAGUGAACAACGUUCAUUCUAGCGAAGACGCUUUCGUUUAGUGAGUUACGACCGCUAAUCUUUGGUUGAUCUGGUCUUCCGACCACUUUCUGGGGAAUGAGAGGGUUAUUUUCGAGGGUUUGACUGCGCUGCUGUUUUGCCUUUGAAACUGUAUGGGUCACUUUUGAAUCCGAUUUUAGGCAACGGGGCUUCACUCGGUAUGCCGGUAUUUGUGUCAGCGACUUUGUGUUUAUUCACAUGAACUUCUUGUGUCCAUGGUUCACUGAUAAGUCGCUUAGUUAAUGUGGGUUUAGUGUUUUACUACAUUUAUUUGUUUUUUUUCUUGUGUAAUUGAGAUUUUUUUUUGAAUUAUUUUGCUUGUUUUCUUAUUUUGUAUGUGGUUUAAUACCACUGUUUCUUUCUUUGGUCCUGUUUGGGAGUCUGCUGUGUAUUAGUCUGGGCCUAACUAUUAUAGUCUGAUGUUACGGCCUAGUUUCCCUGUAAACCUUUAAUGCCUGCCUGUGCAUCAGUCUGGGCCUAACUAUUAUAAUCUGAUGUUACUGCCCAGUUUCCCUGUAAAUCAUUAACGCCUGCAUGUGUAUUAGUCUGGGCCUAACUAUUAUAAAUUGAGGUUAUUGCCCAGUUUUCAUGUAAACCUUCAACGCCUGCUGUUGUAUCCGUCUGGGCCUAACUAUUAUAAUCUGAUGUUACUGCCCAGUUUCCCUGUAAAUCUCUAAUGCCUGCACGUGUAUCAGUCUGGGCCUUACUAUUACUACCCUAUAAGGCUUGUGUCUCUUAUUGGUAAACUAUAACCUCCACGUGUGCAUCAGAGCUGGCUUGAUGAUUUUGUAAGUGCUACUAUAGGUGAGUUUACUGUCAGUUGACCUCAGGGGUUUGUGCCAUCAAGUCCGCUGGUGGCGUUUGAUUCACAGCACACGUAAAGGUACUGCCUCUUUUGAACGUGGGCUAUUUAAUUUUUUUUCCAUUUGUA